GACGAACGCUGGCGGCGUGCUUAACACAUGCAAGUCGAACGGUAAGGCUCCAGCUUGCUGGGGUACACGAGUGGCGAACGGGUGAGUAACACGUGGGUGACCUGCCCUGCACUUCGUGAUAAGCCUGGGAAACUGGGUCUAAUACCGGAUAGGACCAUGGUGUGGAUACUGUGGUGGAAAGUUUUUUCGGUGUGGGAUGGGCCCGCGGCCUAUCAGCUUGUUGGUGGGGUAAUGGCCUACCAAGGCGGCGACGGGUAGCCGGCCUGAGAGGGUGGACGGCCACAUUGGGACUGAGACACGGCCCAGACUCCUACGGGAGGCAGCAGUGGGGAAUAUUGCACAAUGGGCGGAAGCCUGCUGCAGCGACGCCGCGUGGGGGAUGACGGCCUUCGGGUUGUAAACUCCUUUCACCAUCGACGAAGGGUUUCUGACGGUAGAUGGAGAAGAAGCACCGGCUAACUACGUG
rnacentral:rRNA from 1 species